CCCCCCCAGAUCAAGAGAGAACGUUUCCAGCAGCCCCAUGAGUUCCCUCAUGCCCCUCCCAGUCAACAUAGAAAUUCCCACUGUUCUGAUUCCUGCCGUCAUAGAUUGGUUCCCCUGUUUUUGUGGAGUUACACAGUAUCUGCUCUUAGGUGUCUGGUGCCUUUUAUCUUUGUCUCUGUGAGAUUGGUCCAUGUUGUGAUGAGUAGUAAAACCAGAAGAAUGUUUAAGCAAGAAAAGAAACAAAGAAAUGUCAGCCACAAUGCUUAUGACUGUUUCCUAUGAAGACAUGUCUGCUACAAGCAUGUCUACAUACAUACUCUCCAUGAUGUAGAUUUGUGAAUGUGUUUCCAACCACCAGGCGACCAUCACUUUACCGGCUGUGAGAUGCUUCGUUGUGUGGGCCCAGCAAGAUCAGUUCGGACAUGAGAACGAGAAAUCAGUCCCUGACACCUGGGAGCCAGCCUGGCACUCACCACUCAGCAUCAUGUUCUCCUAUUGCACAUCAACAAUUUCACACGACAUCUGUAUCAGACAAGGUCAUUCUGUGACCUUGAUGGAUCUAGAUAAAAACAAGAGCACGCUGCAAUCUUGUCUGAACACACAAAAUGUGAACAUGGUCCAAACCGUAGAAAUGACGAAACAUCUCCCCAUCUUGGCUGAGUCCAGUGACUGCGGCUCCUUUCUAGGGAUAGCUUUAGCCUCACCCCGGUCUGCCCCCCUUCUGGAUAACAUUUCUUAAAAUACCCAGUUGCAGAAUGAUUCCUGCUUCUUGACAGCAUCCAAUCCAAAGCAAAACACCGCUUCCAUGAAUCCCCCCGAAAGUCACCUAACACAAACCUAAAUCCUGCGAGUCCUUUCUAUCACGCUUCCUACGGUGUGUAUUCUCCCUCCUUGUAAUGAGCACUAAAUUUAACUUGUUCAGCUACAAGUGUGUUCCCAAGGGUCUUUACUGGGAGGCAUUGACAGAUAUUAUAUGAUAUCUAUCUACAUAUCUGUACGGCUUUUGCAAUUAUGUAUGUAGAUAUUAUGUAGAUUAUAUUACAGUAGGGUUCCCCCCCAUCCACAGUUUUGCUUUCCAUGGUUUCAGUCACUGUCAGUGAACUGUGGUCUGGUAAUAUUAAAUGGAAAAUUCCAGAAAUAAAAAAUUCGUAAGUUUUAAAUUGCUCCCCUUUCUGAGUAGCAGUGAUGAAACCUUGGCCAUCCUGCUCCAUCCCUCCCGGAAGUGAAUCGUCACUUUGUUCAGUGUUGUCCAGUCACCCACCUGCUAGCCACGUAAUAGCCGGUCAUCAGAUCACUGUUGUGAUAUUGAAGUACUUGUGUUCAAGUCACCCUGUUUUACUUCAUAAUGGCCCCAAAGCUCAAAAGUAGUGACGCUGGCAAUUCGGAUAUGCCAAGAGAAGCCAGAAAGUGCUUCCUUUAAGUGAAAAGGUGAAAGUUUUCGACUUAAUAAGCAAAGAAAAAAAAUCACAUGCCGAGGCUGCUAAGAUCUACAGUAACUUUUAUUACAGUAUGUUGUUAUCAUUGUUGUAUUUUAUCAUUAGUUGUUGUUCAUCUCUUACUGCGCCUGAUUUGUAAAUUAAACUUUCUCAUGGGUAUGUAGGUAUAGUACUAUCCACGAUUUCAGGCAUCCCCUGGGGGUCAUGGAACGUAUGCCCUGCAGAAUAGGGAGCACUACCAUACUAUGAAUUUCAUUUCAAGAUAGUAAAGGGGCUUUACAAAGUAUUUGUUAUAAAAAAAUAAAAGUGUAUUGAAUUUGGUAUGACCAUUGAUAGAAGUUUUCUGAACUUGCCCCUACCUAUAGAUAAAUCAUGGGGUGCUGGUUUGUCCGCAUAUAAAUCCUGCGUGUGAAUGUAGACCUUGCAUGGGACGCCACUUCAAGGAGCGGGUAGUUUCAAAUUGCACACACACACAAAUGUCCUCAAACUAAAUACAGAACAAGUUAUUCCGCUUUGCAGCUUAAGAAAAAUGACUGGCCAGGGCCUGCUUGCAGUGGAUCCUGUCUUCCUGUGCCCUGGUUUGGAUCCCUUCUGUCACUGGUUCAUGCUUCCCUGUUAAUUAGACAUACUGGGCACGACUGUCAGAGCACUAAACCUUGUUACUCCCACUUAGGACAUUCGUGCAUCCCUAUCAUUUGUUUUCCAGAUGUGUGCUUUUCUUCUGACCGACAGUCACCACAUCUGGCAUCUCAACCACUCUGCCAGGAACUGACUGUUAAAUUAAACGAGUAGACCAAAGUGUUUUGAUGACCUCGUGGAACAAAACUGCCAUCCUUUCUUACUUGUCUAAAAUUAGCAGCUAAAGAGGGGGGAGGGUCAGUUAGGAAAUUCCGAGAAGCCCGGAUGACUAAGAUAAAUUAUGUUUUACGAGUGAAGAAAGUUUCCCUGCUUAUGUAGGCGUUCUGUUUCCCACCUGCCUAGCCCUUCACGCCCAUACCCUCCCUGUAUCAGCAUCCUUUUGCCACUUGCUGGUUCCCUUGGUAAGUGCUGGAGAGAAAUUUGUCAAAGAAAUUUUUCUUUUAAUGGUGUGUAGCAGGAGGUGAUUUAGAUUACUUAGGGCUAAGCAUCAAUAUAUGAUCUUAAGUUCAUUGUUUAUUUCCUACCCAACCCCCUCCCACUCUAGGUCUGCGAGUAUGAGGACCUUUGUUGUGUUGGCUGACUCCACCCAGGUGCUUAGAAGGCGCCGGUGAAAUACUUAUUGCCUGCAUGCAUGACUGGAUGAAUCCAUCAAUCCAUCAGUGAUUCAUCCGUCUCCCUCCUCAUUUCAGGCCUGUGAACCUCUCAGUACCAGAGCCAGUCCGCCCUUGCGCGGGCCGCCCUGGGAGAAGGACGCACGGCUUCGAGGGCACCUCACCUUGGGCACCCACGCGCAACGCAGGACGCUUCUUCUGCCGCGCAGCCUCCGCCUCCCGCAUCUGGUGCCGUGCCAGGCGCUGAGGACUGAGGCGACCCAGGAGGGAAGGGCACACUUCGCCCUCCCGGCCCAUUCCCAGACCGCCAGGCAGGGCCUCCAUGGCGAGGGCGAGAACAGAAGGUGCCCUGCGGUCAGACAGCGGGAAGCGCGCGCUCCUCCCCGGGCCUGGCUUGGGCGAUCGCGGCCGCGGCCCCAGCAGUGACCCCCUGGGCAGAGGUGGGCUCUGGGUUGAGUACAUGACAUCCGCCCCCGCCUCUGGGAGAGGGGGGACUCGCGCGGGAUUGUGGGGCCGUGGCACCCGGGCUAUUCUCAGGCCAGAACCCCUUUAACAAGAGGGUGGCAGUGGAGUGCAGAGGACACAGCUGGGGAUUGCCUGACAGAACGGGGCUCCUUGCUUUCUUCACAGGUCACCCCCUAGAUAUGUACCCCUGGUAAACUUUUUAUUUUGAUUUCAUUAAAAAAGAAAUCAAG
ensembl:lncRNA